rnacentral:snRNA from 1 species
AAUUUAGAACAAAAAAACAUGAAUU